UACAGAGACUGCAAGCGUUAUUCGGAUUCACUGGGCGUAAAGGGUGCGCAGGCGGCCAAGUGUGUGAGGCGUGAAAGCCCCGGGGCUUAACCCCGGAAUUGCCUUUGAAACUGCAUUGCUAGAGUGUCGGAGGGGAUAGCGGAAUUGCUAAUGUAGAGGUGAAAUUCGUAGAUAUUAGCAGGAACACCGGUGGCGAAGGCGGCUAUCUGGACGACAACUGACGCUGAGGCGCGAAAGCGCGGGGAUCAAACAGG
rnacentral:rRNA from 1 species